CAUGCUCUUGCUUCUAGAUAGGUUUGAUGAUUGGGUGGAGAGCAACAGCAGGGCCAAACAGGCCACACCAGUCCCACCAGGAAUUAAGGACUCGUCUGAAGAACUCAAUCCAUAUUAUUAGUGUGGUUCGCUGGCUUCUGAAAAAUUUCCACGAUUUUGUGAAAUCUGCCCAUCUGUGAAACGAGUUUGAAAUACAGACGACCUGGAACAUGCCCAGAAUGUUCAUGUGACAGUGUGUCGUGAAGAAUCAGGAUGGACAUUACUAUGAAAAGUGUGCAAGCGCCAGACAGAAGAGACUGAGCGAAAUAAACGUUGUUCACAAGAUCCCUCAGACUCCAGGAUGGGAAAUGCUUAACAAGAAAUAAAAAGAUGGAGACACAGAAGGAGACCAUGAGACUCUCUGUUUUAUUUUAAAUAGUUAAUCUGUUGACAUUUUAUAUUCUGACUUGUAACGUUAAUGUUAAAAAUAGGUAGAAAAAGACACCCCCUGUUUAUUUAAAUUAGCUAGGCUACUCACUAUACCAAUGGUAGGCCACAGAUUUGAGUCACUGCUGUUAAAAUUGUUUUCCCAAUGUAUCUUUCUAUUACAUUACAUUUUGUUCUUACGAUGUAUUACAUGUUUGAGGAGAGUGUGUGCUAUAAAUGUUUGCAACUCGUUAAUAAAUAGGCAGAAUGUU